rnacentral:rRNA from 1 species
AUGAGCCAGCAAAUCCCGUCAGCAGGUGUUGGUGGCUCAAGCACUGCCUCAGUAGCAACACCUGCACUCCCUCAAGUUGAUUCGGAUGACCCUGCGUGGAAGUAUUGCACUCUUCCAGAUAGAGCUUCAACAUCACAAGAACAAGGGAAAAAGAAGAAGAGGCCUACUGCGCCCCCUAGAAAGAAGAGGAAGAAGAGCUUGCAAUCUCUCCUUAAUAGUGUCGAUGAGGAAGCUAUACUUUCUGCCUCUUCCAAUUCUUCUUCAUCGGAAUCAGAAGAUGAGUCUCCCUCGGCCCUUGCUGACUCGGAUUAA